UAAUCCAAUGGAUGGGUUUAU
rnacentral:piRNA from 1 species